GAUGAACGCUGGCGGCGUGCCUAAUACAUGCAAGUCGAGCGAACAGACGAGGAGCUUGCUCCUCUGACGUUAGCGGCGGACGGGUGAGUAACACGUGGAUAACCUACCUAUAAGACUGGGAUAACUUCGGGAAACCGGAGCUAAUACCGGAUAAUAUAUUGAACCGCAUGGUUCAAUAGUGAAAGACGGUUUUGCUGUCACUUAUAGAUGGAUCCGCGCCGCAUUAGCUAGUUGGUAAGGUAACGGCUUACCAAGGCAACGAUGCGUAGCCGACCUGAGAGGUGGAGCGUCAAAAAUGAAGUUGGAAACGGGGCGAAAACCCAAAGGAGGGAACAGGAGGGAAAUUCUCCGAAGGGGACGAAACCCGAAGGGGCCACGCCCCGGGGGGGAGGAAAGGAUUCCGAUUCUUAAAACUCUGUAUUUAGGAAAAAACAAUUGUUAAAGUAACAUUAACCCUUUUGCGGGUCCCAAGUAGAAAGGCCAGGGCGACCAAGGG
rnacentral:rRNA from 1 species